rnacentral:rRNA from 1 species
CCGCCUGUUUAUCAAAAACAGGUUUUUUUGAAAAUAAAAUAAAGUUUAAUUUGCCCAUUGAAGAUUUAAAAGGCCGCAGUAAUUUGACUGUGCAAAGGUAGCAUAAUCAAUAGUUUUUUAAUUGAAAGCUGGAAUGAAUGAUUGAAUGAAAUAUUAACUGUCUUAAUAAAAUUGUUAUAGAAUUUAAUUUUUAUGUUAAAAAGCGUAAAUAUUAUUAAAGGACGAGAAGACCCUUUAAAGUUUUAUAUAUAAAUAUAGAUUAAUUUUAAGAAUAUUAUUAAAUUUAUUUAUAUUAAUAUAUUUUAUUGGGGUGAUAGGAAAAUUUAUAAAACUUUUUUUUUAUUAAAACAUAAAUAAUUGAAUAAUUGAUCCAUAAAUUAUGAUUAAAAGAUUAAGUUACUUAGGGAUAACAACGUAAA